UCUUGUGUACAUUCCUAUAGCAUAGCGCUAAUGCAUUGAAUCCCAUUAGAACUCCACAGUUAAGCACACUCAGACUAGAGUAGUACUAGGGUGGGUGACCCCCCUGGAAUUCCUAGUGUUUUACAUGCC
rfam:Picea glauca, whole genome shotgun sequence.